CUGGGGGGCCUACAGGACCCUGACAUCCCUCUGCCAGGAGCCCUACUGAGGAGCAGGCGCUGUAGAAGGCACCUACCAGGCUCCAGGGAAAUGGCUCCAUCCGAGGAGCCAGCUGGCUAAGAUCCAGGCCCGGCUAUGAAUCAGCAGAAGGGAUUUCUGUGCAGGAUUUAGAGUCAAGAGAAAUUGGGUUUAAAUCUUGGCUCUGAUGCCUGCAAGCCGUGGGAUCCUAGAGAAUCUCAGUUUCUUCCUCUGUGAAGAGGGGGUAACGUGCUCCCUUAUCUCACUAGAUUUAUAUGAGCAAAGCAUUUGGAAAUCUGAAACACUAUAGAAACAUAAAAUUAUUGUUAUCCUUUCAGGGCAAGAUUGACUUUGCCCUCUCAACCAAAGAACAAAUUUUAUUUAUUCUCUACCUGUAUUUAGAGGCAGCUCCGUGGUACAAUGGACAGAGUACUGGUCCUGAGUUCAAAUCUGGCCUCAGAAACUUCUUAGCUGGGUGACCCUGGGCAAGUCAUUUAAACUCUAUUGGUCUUAAUCUACUGGAGAAAGAAAUGACAAACACUCCAGUACCUUUGCCAAGAAAACCCAAGGCCCACGGGGUCAUAAAGAGUUGGCCUUGAUGGAAAAAACAUCAACAAUCACUUCUUUUUUUAAAAAAUAGUCUUAGGGAAGGAGAGAAUUUGGAACUCAAAAACAUAAAAUGAAUAUUAAAAUGGUUUCUACAUGCAAUUGAGAAAAAAUAAAAAACAAUCUUUUAAAAAGUAAAUAAAACAAAAAAAAUCUCUCCUCCCCCAGAGAAAGAAAUUAAUUUUUCAAUCAAGUGAAUUCACUAAUAUCUUUGUUUUAUAGCUGGGAAUCUGGAAGUGAUCCAUCUCCCUCCCUUGAGUAUUUUAUAACAGGAAGAACAAACAAACAGACCUAAAAACCAAAAACCCGAGAGCCCCAGGAAAUAGGUGCCCUGUUCUGUCUUAUACAUGUUGAAAGGUUGCUCUGUAAUUCCUCCCAUAUCAUUUCAGCCAGAUGUGGGUGUUUAGUGCCUCCAUAGCUCAGAACUCCUCUCUUAGAUGGUCAACUGCUUGAUCAGAAGAACUAUUUCUUUAAAAACAAAACAAAACACUUUAAAUCUGGUCCCUCAGACAAGACAGUCUCUUUAGGCCUUAGUUAUGCCACUUGUAAAAUGAAGAGUUUGGACUGUAUGUUAUUUCAUAGAUCUCUUCAACAACAACAAAAUUUAAACCUUGUGAUGCUAUAAAAAAAAUUUAAACCCUUAUCUUCUGUCUUAGAAUAAAUACUGUAUUAUUUCUAAAGCAGAAGAGUGGUAAGGGCUAGGCAAUUGGGCUGGGAGGGAGGGUUAAGUGACUUGCUCAGGGUCACACAGCUAAGAAGUGUCUGAGGCCAGGUUUAAAUCACUUCCCAUCUCUAGGCCUGGUUUUCAAUUCACUGAGCUACCUAACUAUCCCCCCAUAAGGACUUUUUCUAAAAAAUUCUUUUUUCUCUAAGAGCCCAGCACCGUGUGCAGGGUAUAGGAGCCCCCCACCCCCACCCCCCGGGUGUUGAGUUCAGAGGACCUGAGAUUGAAUCCCAGCUCUGAAAUGUGUUACCUACACGCGUGUAGGCAAGUCUUGGGGCCUUUCUGGGUCUCAUUUCCUCAUCAGCAAGUCCAGACCGUUUAGCCCUCCAGUUCUACCAUGCUGCCCUGUGGAGAAGGUCUGUCCAUCUCCCUCUCGUCCCCCCAUCCUCUGCCUUUCUUCCUAUCCCUUGGUCCUCCUCCUACAUCCAGACCCCCCCGCCGGGUCAUGGGCCGGCAGUUCUAGAGAGCCUACGGUGGGCUGAGCCUCUCGGUAAGGCCUUGUUCCUUAACCACAUCAGAGCCCUGGAACAGACGACUAAGGACUUGGGUCCAGGCCGCCAAAUGAUGACCCAUCCUUCCCGUUCACAGUUGCAAUUUCCUGUUUCUCAGUGCUCCCAGGAGCACAGGGUGGACCAAAUCCAUAGAGAAAAACUCCAGAGAGUUAGGCAACAGGCUGCAGUUGGGCGUUGCUCUUUCGUGUGUGUGUGUGUGUGUGUGUGUGUGUGUGUGUGUGUUUUAAUUGACAUUCAGAGUAGCCAAGAGAAUUAUGGUCCUGAUGAAAGUUUGGUGGAUGACUUUCUCUCUCUCUGGCCACCUCUGUUGGGCUGACUGUGAGUAGGCAGCAGAGUCCCAUCCCAAUGGCUCUUCUUAGCUCAAAUCCAGAUGUCUAACAGGCAGUAAAGAACCCACGACUAGAACAUGUUUAUUUGUGUGUGUAUGUGUGUGUGUGUGGGGGGGGUCUAGGGGUCUUGGACUCUUGAGUGGGAACAGGGUCAGGUCAGUGUCCAAGAGUGCCUUGGAGGGAGCAGGGGACAUGCCUUUUGUAGGGGAGUCAUUGUUGUUACUGUUCAGUCUUUUCCAUCGUGUCCAGUUCUUCGUGACCUCAUUUGGAAUUUUCUUGGCAGAGAUGCUGAAGUGAUUUGUCAUUUCCUUCUCCGGCUCACUUCACAAAUAAGGAAACAGAGGCAGACGGGGUUAAGUGACUUGCCCAAGGUCCUACAGCUGGGAAGUGAAAGAGGCCAAAGUUGAACUCAGAAAAAUAGUCUUCCUGACUCCAGGCCCAGCCUGCUAUCCUGGCUCUGAUAUUUACUAGCUUUGUAACCUCAAGCCACUCGCUUCUCUCAGCCUCAGUUUCUUCAUCUGUAAAAUUAGGAAGGAUAUACUAGAUUACCUAGUGUAUUAUUAUUAUUAGCCUCUGCCUAGUUCCAACAUUCUAUGACUCUGGGCUUCUUUGAACAAAUUCCAGGUAUAGGGAAGAAUCCGGGACUAGAAUGAAAUAAGACCGUUACAAUCUAGUUACCUACAAUCUGGUUGGAGAGAUGAGUCUCCUAACAUGUAAGCUAUUAAAGAACGCUCCAUGGCAAUAUAUAAUCAAGUGCCCAGCUGAAUAAUAUGGAUAAUAAGUACCAUAAGGCGAGACCAGCUUUGGCAGAGGCCCAGCUCGCUGUCAGCACUGCCUGGGAAAGAUCAGAUCCUUAGGACGGUUUAUCUGCGACCACAGGAUUCAGGUUUCAAUCAGGCUCUGCCAUGAAUUAAACCGACUCCCUCCCCCUGGUUAGGCCACAGUUUCCCCGUCGAAACAACAGCAAGGAUGCUUCCAGCAUUUUCUUUCAAGAGCCACGAGCCUGCAGGAGAUACCACAGGAAGCUAUUUUAAGCUCCGACCAAAGGAUGGGACGUUCUCCGUGGGUGAAGACAGCGGCGAGGAAGUGGGGAGUGAACUUCAUAGCAGGUAGAUUCUGGGGAGGUAAAGACACUAGGCUUCAAGGGAGAUGAUGGUGCCAGCAUCCUUCACAUUCGUCAGCUCCUUCUUGGAGUGUUGGGUUCUGUUCUGGGUAUCCCCUUCUACAAAAGGCCUCGCUUAGCUCGUGUCCACAGGACAGUGUCCAGACUGAUGGAAGGUUUAGAAACUUUUUAUAUGGAAAAAAAAAUCAAAGGAACUGAGGACGUUGAAUGAGAAUAUGAGGUGGCUUGGGGAAAAGGCAAGGAGUCAUGCCAUCUAUCUUCCCAUGCUUGAAGGGCUAUCAUGUGAAAGGUUAAAUUUACCCACUGUAGCUCCAGAGGGUACAAGGAGGCAUUGUACGUAGAAGUUAUGAGAUGGCAUAUUUCAAAUUAUUCUCAUAAUACUGUCUAACAGCAGAAGGGAAUGCCUUGUUAGGUAGCGAGUCCCCUGUCAUUAGAAACCAUAAUAAAUGAGAAUCAUAAAAUUUUUUAGAGCUGGAAGGGACCCAAAAAGUCAUCAUCUAGCCUAGCCUCCUAUGUGUUAUGUUAUUUUUGGGUAGACAACAGACUUUAUUUCAACCUACCAAAAAAUACAGGUCACGGAGGAUCGUAAUCAAAUACAGGACAUAUUAAACACAGUGGUCCAUAAGCCCCCCUUGGGAAAAACCAGAGCUUGGAUUCGUCAAUAAGCCGCUCGCUGACAUGCCAGUGAAAUAUUGCUCUCCCACAGGGUCCAGUACAGUUCUUCCAAGACUCAUACUGCUAUAGCAUGUUUUGGACUCAUCCCCAGAAAGCAGAUACAUUUUGGAAUUGCUCAAUAGCCAGUUUUUUUCCUUUGGACCUGCUCUGUCUUCAUAACUCAUGGUAAUGGAGGGAACAAAUAGAGGUUUUGGGAUAUCCUCUAUGUUGUGACUUUAAAGCCCCUUACUGCACCUCUCGCUCUCCAUGGGAUCAAGCUUCUUCCGUCUCUGGAACUCAGGGCUCACAGAACUCUGGAAUUCUCUUCUAAGAGGUUAGUUGUCCUACCUCUUGAAUUUGGGGUUAUUCUCGAGCUACCCCCCAAACUGGUGUUCCCAAGGAACCUUUCUCUUUUACUAGAAGCCUAGAUUCUGAAAUCACACAGCCUAGGAAAUUAAGCUUCCACCUUCAUCCCCACCUACAUGGGAAGUUAGGGUUCAGUAGCAUUAUCCAUGCUACAUUAUCCAUUAUCCUUGAAUGUAGGGCUGGUUUCAUUUUAAAAUUUGAAGUCUGACACAUAGUGGAUAUUUAAUAAAUCUUUUUUGAAUGAACAAAUAUGCUCCCCUCACUGGGUUUAAUGUUGGCUAGCCUCUUCCUUAUCUUCCAUUAAGAAUUGUUGAUGCUGGGGGAAGCUAGGUGGUUCAGUGGGUAGAGAUGGGAGGCCUUGAGUUCAAGUGUGGCCUCAAGAUACUUCUGAACUGUGUGACCUGGGCAAGUCACUUAACCCCCAAUUGUCUAGCCCUUACUGCUCUUCUGUCUUGGAGCUGAUACUAUCAAUUCUAAGAUAGAAUUUAAAAUUAAAUACAUAAAGAAUUUUGAUGCCCCAAAUUUUAAGAGAAACAAAGUAUCUUUAAAAAAAAUAGGCAGCUAGGUGCCUCAGAGAUGCUGCCAUCUUUUAGACUAGGAAUAUCCAUUCCCAAGUGUCUUGCCCUGUGUUCAAAAAGCCAUGGGUCAGCAGAUCUGAUUUUGGUGUACUUCUGUUCCCAAAGGGACCAUGAACAAAUCCUAGAAUAAGGAAGAGAGAGAGGGACUCCCUGCUCUCUAGUGCUCUUAUGAAGGAAGUUCCAAGGGAGAAGGUGAAAAAAAGCCCAGGCAGGUGAGGCCCAGAGUUUAGAAGUGGCUUGGCCCAGAUAAUAUUAGCCAAUGACAAGAUGGGGAAUAGAUCACACGGUCUCUGGGUUUGAAGGGACUUUAUAGGCCAUUUGGUCCAACCAAAUCUGAACAGGAACGUCUGCUAUAAUGUCUGUGACAGGUGGUUGGUUAUUCAGCCUUCCCUUGAAGACUUCAAAUAGUGGUAAAGUUACUAUUUCCCUCAUAUCCAAUCAGUUGCCAAGUUUCAUUCCACCUCCUCAACGUCUCUUAUAUUUCUUCCCCUUUCCCCCUUUAAAAAAAAUCCCUUACUUUCUGUCUUAGAAUCAAUGAUAUGAAUUGAUUUCAAGAUAGAAGAGUGAUAGGCAAUGGGGCUUAAGUGACUUGCUCAGGAUCACACAGCUAGGAAGUGUCAGAGGCCAGAUUUGAACCCAAGAUCUCCUAACUCUCAAUCCACUGAGCCACCUAGCUGCCCCUCUCCCUUUUUUUAAACCCUUACCUUCUGUCUUGGAAUCAAUACUGGGUAUUGGUUCCAAGGCAGAAGAGUGGCAAGGGCUAGGCAAUGGGGGUUAAGUGACUUGCCCAGGGUCACACAGCUAGGAAGUGUCUGACACCACAUUUGAACCCAGGACCUCCCGUCUCUGAGCCUGACUCUCUGGGCCACCCAGCUUCCCCCUCUCCCUUUGUUUUUAUUCACAUGACCACCACCCUCACCUCUCUCCUGGAUUAUUGCAAUAGUCUUUAAAUUGGUCUGCCUGUAUCCCACCCUCCUCGUCCUCUCCAAUCCAUCCUCCACAUUGCUGCCAAAUUGAUAUUUCUGAAUCACACAUCUGACUCUUUCCCUUUUCAAAAAGCUGCAUGGGCUCCCCAUUAUCUCUGGGAAAAAAUACACAUUCUUUUGUUUGGUAUUUAAAGUCCUUCACAAUCCAAAAUUUCAGUACAUCGACCAAGUGUGUGAUUGCUGUUUCAGGCACUGUUAGAGGCUCUGGGCACAAAAUUUUUAUAUACUCUGAAAUCUUCUAGUCUUUUGGGAAGGCAACAUGGCUCUGUAUGAGAAUGUACAAAGUAAAGACAAAGGAAAUGGAGUCAUUGGGGAGGGAAGGACAGAAUGAGAGAGAAGGAUCAGAAAAGAUUGAUGGAGAAGGUGGUGCUUGGGCUGAAUCUUCAACAAAGAGAGAUUCCUUGGAUGGAAGUGUACCCUGGGCAUAGGGCAGGACCAGCACAAAGACACACAAUGGAAUUCCAUGUGUGAGGAAGAGCAGCGGGGCCCACUGGCUAACCUGCAGAGUCUGGAAAAGGGGGUAAUGCAUCAUGAAACUGGAAAGAUGGAUUGGGGCCAGAUGGCAGAGGGCUUUAGAAGCCAAACAUAGGAGUUCCAAUUUUCUCCUAUAGGCAAUGGAAGCCAUUGGAAUGUAUUGAGUAGGGGAGUGUCAUGGUCUGUAACUUAGGAACAUCACUUUGGCAGCCUGGAGAGAAAGGACUAGGAGGGAAUUGAGGUAGAGAGACCAAUUAGAGGCUGUUACAAGGCACUAAUCCAGGGAAGAGAUGAUGGUCCCAGCCAAGAUGGCAGCCGUGUGAAUAGAGAGCCCUGCCUUUGCAAGGCGAGCACACUUACUCCUUUCUAGGCUCUCAGUGCCCAUUUGCUCCUUCCCCAUAAGCAACAAUCCUUAGUUAAAAGACUCUCUCUUCCCCCUAAUUCUCUUCAAGACCUAAUGGAAGAGCCAAUUCUUUCAAGAGUUUUUUUUUCUGAUUCUUUUCAUUAUUUAGUGCCUUCCCCAUCCUGUAUAUUUUUGUGUGUAUACCCUCUGCAUUUUUUCAUCUUCAUGAGGUCAAAUCCAGCCUGAUACUUACUUAGUUGCAUGACCUUGGGUAAAUCACUGAACCUGUUUGCCUCAGUUUCCUCAUCUGUAAAACCAGCUGGAGAAGGAAAUGGCAAACUGCUGCAGUAUUUUUGCCAAGAAAACCCCAAUGGAAAUCCAGAAAAGUGAGACAUUUGUGAUAAUGACAACAGUAACAAAAAUGUUGUAUCCCUUCUAAAGGAAUGUAAACUCUUUUAGGUCAAGGACCAUACCAGUUUUGUAGCAAUACUUGUCAGUGUAUCGUACGAACGUCUGGUACUUGCUUGCUAAAUGCUCGGUGAUUGUGUCGCGGUGCUACCCUUUCUCCUUUGGAAAAACUCAGCCUAAUGGUUCACAUUAUUUAAGAGUACAGAGAAGUCAUGUGGGUUAAGGAAAAACAAAUUAGAAAUAAAAACAAACCACCUUGAAGUUUACCGUGCACUCCCGUUGUGUAUCUUUCCUCCCAUUUAUUACCAAAUGCUUGGGAAGACUCGCCCACAGUUGCUACUUCUGCCUAUUCCCAGAGCUCCUCUUGGUUUCCUCAUCUUUCAAAUGGGGAUAAUGAUAUUUGUGAGACACAGGGCUGUUUAUUUUUUUCUAUAAAGCCUUACUUCCCAUCUUAGUAAUGACUGAGACAGAAGGGAAAGGGCCCGGCGAAUCUUGUCAGUUAUGAUCUGUGCAAGCCCAUUUAAACUUUCUGGGUCUUAGUUUUCUCAACUUUUUUCAAAGGGAUUGGUUGGACUAGAUGACCUCUGAGGUCCCUUUCCAACUCUAGGGCUAUGAUCUUCGGCAUGAGCCUUCUUUCUUUUAACCCUUACCUUCUGUCAUGUUGAUAUGAAGUAUUGUUUCCAAGGCAGAAGAGCAACAAAGACUAGGCAAGUGGGGGGUUAAGUGACUCGCCCAGGGUCACAGAGCGAGGAAGUCUUGAGGUCACAUUUGAAUCCAGGUCUUCCUUUCUUCAGGCUUGGCACUCUAUCCUCUCUGCCACUUAGAUGCCCCUGUUUAUUGACCUUCUGUCUUAGAAUCAAUACUGAGUCUUGGUUCCAAGGCAGAAGAGCGGUAAGGGCUAGGCAGUGGGGGUCAAGUGACUUGCCUGGGAAGUGUCUGAGGCCAGAUUUGACCUCAGGUCCUCCUAUCUCUAGGCCUGGCUCUCCAUCUACUGAGCCAAUUGGCUGCCCCCCAAUUUUGUUUUCAAAAGAUACCUUUUUUUCCCCUUAAAGUAUCUGAAAUCUGGCUUCUGACCCCACCAUUCUUUGUACACGUUUCCUCCAGUUUACCAGUGAUUCCUUAAGGCUUCAUCCCCUCUGAUGUCUCUGCAGCUUUAAACACUGUGGCCCACCCUCUCCUCUUAGAUCCCUUCGCUUUCCUCGCACAGCUGAGCCCCUGGCUCUUCUCCUACCUGUCUGACCAAGUCUUCUUGGGCUGCUCUGCUGAGUCAUCCUGUUUCUCCAGCUCCCUAAUAAGGAGUGUACCCACAGGCUCUGUUCUGGGCCUUUUGCUGACUUCAUUAUUUCCCCUGGGCUCAAUUAUCAUUACUUCAGAAAUGAUUCUCAAAUCUAUAUAUCUAAUUUGUCUCCUAGAUUUAAGUCCUAAAUUGUCAAUUACCUUUUAGACAUCUCCUCCUUGAUGGCCUUCUCAUUUUCUUUACUCCUAAAUAACAAACAUAAUAACACAACAGUAACAAUAAUGUUAUGUUUAUAUAACUUUAAGAGGGACAAAAUACCUUAAAAAAUGGGGAGGAGGGGAGCCGGCUGGGUAGCUCAGUGAAUUGAGAGCCAGGCCUAGAGAUGGGAGGUCCUGGGUUCAAAUCUAGCCUCAGACCCUACCUAGCUGUGUGACCCUGGGCAAGUCACUUAACUCCCAUUGCCAAGCCUUUACCACUCUUCUGCCUUAGAACCAAUACAUGGUAUUGAUUCUAAGAUGGAAGGUAAGGAUAUUUUAAACAUUGAAAUAAAAAUAAAUAAAUAGGUACAGAUAGGUGGCACAGACUUGAAGUCAGGAGAAUUCAGGGUUUCAAAUCUGACCUCAAACAUUGCCUAAUGGUGUGACCCUGAGCAAGUCCCUUAACCAUAUUUGUCUAGUUUGUGUCCUUGUGUCUUAAAGUUGUUACUAAGGCAUGAAGGAAAAAUUAUGAGAAAAAAGUAAAAUUAAACAGCCCUGUGAGGUGGGAGCAGAUAUCAUUAUCCCCAUUUGAAAGAGAUACUAAGGUUCUGUGGGAUGAUCACUGAGAUAGUAACUGUCUAAGUCAAUAAUUGAACCCAGUGUUCAGACUUCAGUUGUAGUGCUCUACUUUAAAUGUUGUGCCCUUAAACUUUCCCCAUCUCCCAAAUGCCCUGUUUCUACCAUCUUCUCGGGCACCCAAUUUCAUAACUUUGGAGUUGCCCUUGACUCUUCUCUCAUCUUCGUCCCCAUAAUCUCCAGACAUUUGCUGGAUGAUCAGUUCUACCACACCAGCUCUCAUUCAUCUCCUUCCUUCCAUCCACGUAGCCUCUAGUAGGUUCUUCCACUUCUUGUCGGCCAGUGGGUCCCAUAGCUAAUUGGUCUCCCUAUUUCUCUAGUGGUAUCAAAGUCAAAUAGAAAUGCCAGCCCCUGAUCCAUACAUAUGGACCCCUGUGGGCCACAUAUUGACUUAAUUUUAAAAUGUAAUAUUGUCUUUGUUUUCUUAUAUUUUCAUUUAUUUUCUUAAAGAUUUCCCAAUCACAUUUUAUUUCUCUUUAGAUUCACUUUAGAGGCAGCCAGUGGGCUCUGUUCUGGAACCUGCAUUCUGAGUCUUCUUCCCAUCUGUCACCAUCUUCUUCCUAAGAUCUAUAUCUCUGUUAUUUCUUCCUCAGAAACCUUCGGGGAUUUCCAAUGGUAUAUCAGAAAAAUAGAAACUCCUCAGUCUGGCAUUCAAGGCCCUCCAUCCUUUGGGCCUGCCCUUGUUUCCUUAGUUCUCCUUUCACGUUCUCCAUAUUUAGUUAAACCCAUCUAGAAGCUCUUCUCUGAAACCUGUCUCUUUCUCCUCCCCAGGGCUGUGUGUUCACACAGGCUGUCCCAAUAUGGCUGGAAAGCAUUCUCUCCUCAUCUCUGCCCUAUACUGUAAAGGGUUGGCAUGAAGAUCAGAUGAGAAUGUAAUGCAUCGCUCAAUAAAGGCCUUCUGAAGAACUUUUCUCGGGAACAUAUGACUCAGCAGUUGAAUUCCCUGAGGGACGGAGGCCCCUGAAGUCCUCCCAGCUAUGGUUGGAGUCCACACCUCUGGAACUUGGCACCUGAUCCUGGAAGGGCAGAAGGGGACUCCCGAAGAUGAGAUGAUACGACAUUUGGCCGAGCUGUGGAGACUAUCAUUCAGAAUGAAGCAAGGGAGAGGCCUCAGGGGAAGGAGUGAGCCUGCUGAGACGAGGGUCUCCAAACCCUGAAGCAUCCAAGGUUGGAUGGAGAGCUGGGACUGCGCAGGAGGCGACAGGCAGUUCUGACGGGUUCCCAGACUUGGUGGUGUGUACCCUCUUCUUCCCCCACGUACGUAUAUUCUGGGAUCGGGGGCGAUUCCUAUGCAGUUGGGGGUGCUCUCCCUCCUAGACUUUCUUUCUCUUGCUUUUGGCUGUUUUAUUCUCCCGGUGGGGGGAAUUUUUCCACUCUAAUUGUCAUUCUCCCUCAGUGUUAGUUGGUCCAGGAUGACAUGGGUCAUGAGGAAGAGAUCAGACCUGAUCCCUCUGGCUCCUACCUCCACGCACAACUUUAGCCCAGAAGGGAGGACCCCCUACUUUAGGAUGGGCAGAAGACCCUGGCUGUUUUGGCAUCUGUCUGUCUGUCUGUCAGUCAGCAGAGCUGGGAUGUAGACAUGUUGGGGGGUGGGUGGGGGUCAGGGAAAGAGAAAGGAAGGGACGCAUUAGCGAGGGCCCCCCCUCCCUCGAGGUCUGGCCAUGGUGGGGGUUGGCAGGCUUUGGGUGGAGUUGGGAGGUGGGGUGGUCCCCUGGGUGCCCCGGGUGGGGGCUGAGUCUGUGGCAGGUUUGUUGCUGCGUAGUUGGGGGAAGAAAAGUGGUGGCUGGUGACGCAGUCAUGGGCACAUCCGAGGGGGCAGGGGACCGAGGCUCCCCGAAGCUGCUGAGCCCGGCUGAGAGGGUUAAGGAUGAGCCGAGGAGGGGAAGCCAACAUUUAGAGAUUAAAUGUCAUCCUUCUGGCGUUGCAAAGUUGUUUACCUUGCGUUCUCUGUGUCUCCAUGUUGGCAUCUCUCCAGUUCCCAUGUGAUGGCCUUCCCUGUACUGCUGCAUCAUUAACCGAGUGGCAGGGCUGGCCCUUCAUUGGCCAGGGGAGGGCUCAGGCUCCAGACGUUUCUUCCCAUUGGUGAGAAGGGUGAUGGCAGGUGAAAAGCUCUUUUGGAUUGGCUGAGGACUGGGUAUCAAAUCUGAAUUUCCAUUUCACUGGAGAAAAAAGGGGGGUAGGUUGGUGAUGAUGGUUGGAGUGUGGGGGUGGGGGGGAGCUGAGCAGUUCUGAUCUCUCAAAGCUCUUCAGGGGUGCGUGUGUGUGUGCGUGCACGCAACAGUGCCCAGGGGUGCUCUGGGGCUAAAGCUUCUGGGCAUUCGAGGGACUGAUUUACUCCGUGGAUGUGAGACAAGCUCCCAGCUGUACAAACUUUUUUUUAAAAUGGGUUUUGUUUUUUGUUUGGAGGGGGUGAAGAGUUGGAUUUUAGGCAUGAGGGGUGGCAGAAGAGUUGACAGCCUCAGAAGAAAAGCUUCCUGAGCUUAUUUGAUUUCAAAAGAGGGAGUUUCCAGCUGUCACCGGCCGCACCUUGGUGUUGUGGCAAGAUCAUUCCCAACUCCCCUGGAAAUGCGUGGGCAAGGUAGGGCUGCGGCUGCUGACUCCCGACGGCUCCCCGGGGACCAGAGAUUUGCAUUGACGUCCAGAGAUAGCCCUAGUCCUCAGGGGCCAGAGGGGGGUCAGGCUAUGGGCUGAGAGGACCUGAUUUCCUCAGACCAAUCUUUGGGUGGGAAAGGAAGGAUGGGAGGAUUGAUCCCAGGAGGUGAGCCCACUUGGGUGGGCUUUCUAAAAGAGUUGAUAGAAGAAAGAGCUUUCUGACCUGCAUCUUCCCAUCUAAAGGAAGGAGGAUUGUGAGAGAGAAACUAGGGCAGCAGCUGUUGGCUUUGGGGGGAAGAUGGAGGUUGGGAGGGGGGAAGAACUGAAAAAGAAAUGUUUAUAGGAAUCUCCAUCUUUCACUCAAAUGGAGGUCCCAAGUUUGCAGUAGCUGUUCAGGUAAGGAAUAGGGUACUGGAGACCAAGCCUCCUCCCCCCACCAUACCAGCCGAGGAUGUCAUGAAAUCUCAGCCCGGUGGCCCAGCCGGUCCCUCCUUGUCCACCUUCGCCCCGCACAGGCCCCUCGUUCUUUAGUCAGGGCUUGGGCCACCCCAGUUCUUACGUAACUGUGUUCUACACCUUCUCCUGUCCUUUGGCAUGUCUAGCACCCCCCCUGGGGUCCAGACAUCGCAGAAGAAAAGUCCUGGCUGGGGAGAAAUUAAUGAACGAUGUCGCUAACCAGCCCCCAAAGGGUGGCGCAGUCAGCGACGCAGGAUGAAUGGGAGGGCAUCCUCUGCUUGGUCCUUGUUACCAGUGGUUUCCUGGGAGCAUCUGCCCUGGAGAUAGAGUGGUCUCAGCAUCCUUCUGCAACGCCACUCAUUUGGGGGGAUCUUUCCAAAGGAAAAGGUAGGAUGGCUACCGGAUGCAGAAUUUUCUUUUUUUAAGAGAUGGGGGCCACUUGGGAUGGCGCAGAGUUGUUUGGCCCUCUCGGUCCAUUGCCCUGGUCCUUCCUCGGCCCCUUUUUGUUGUUUUGGUUCUCUGACUCUGGAUUCUUUACCAUGACUCCCUUUGGGGGUUUCCUCCCUCCGUGGAGUGGGCUUCUUGGGUCCUGCUGUGCCAAUUGCGCAGAACGGGUGGGGGCCGGGGGGAGGGGAGGAGGUAGAGGACCUGGGGAGCUGCGGAAACAGCAGCAGCAGAGGACGUGGUGCAGAUUGCGGCAGUGAUGGGAGCUUCUCGGAGGCAGAGCCUAGAAGGUUUUGUUGUGCCCACCCUUACCCCAAAGUCUUAGCCAGACGUGGAGAAAUACGUUUAUUGCUCUUGGUCCUGGGGCCCUGCCUGGGACUUCUGGCAUCGCUGGUUGGGGCCUCACUGAAUCAGAAGCAUUUGGGCCCCCCCUUCUCCAGACAGGGGCCUAAAGCCCUUUGGGGGGCUGGGGGUGAAGAUCUUCGAGGUGAGUGACGUAGCACAUAACUUGAGAAGGAUCAGACCCGUGGGCUGGUAUUCCCAGCAUCACCAGUAGGGAUGGGAUGGAAAUGGGUGUUUGCUGGUGGCCAUGAUGUUUUUGGAAUGUCAGAAAUCACUGAAUCAUGGAUCUGAGCUGGAAGGAAUGUUGAAGGUCACCCCUUCUUUGGCCAGAUGGGGAAAUUGAGGCCCAAGGAGGUUAAGAUACUUCUAAAUACCAGAGCCAGGAAUCAAAGCAGGGUCCUCUAACCCUAAAUACAGCCAUGCGUUAUGGCUAGAAUUCUGGAUACCCUUUGAUUCUUUUCUUUGCACCUUCUUUAUUCCCACAUAUACCAGCCCGGAAUGGAAAACUAAGAGGUUCAUUUGGGGGUGGAGAAAAAGAAGCUAGAAUAAAGGGGAAUCUGUAAUGUGAGCACUGAUGGGCUAAUGCACCCCAUUGAGAUCACCCCUCUUUCUUCUACGUAUAUCCUUCCAUCAUCCCUAAAGUUUAUCAUCCUUUUUCCUGAAGAGCCUCCAGGGGGCCAUCUCUCUCCUUGCACCUUGGCUCACAGCUUUGAGGGCUGGCCCCCAGGUGGUCUCUUUUGGUAUUGUGGUCGCACAUCUGCUCCUCCUCUUCUUCCUCCUCCCCCCCCCCCCAGCUUCCCAGACUCCUCCAGGAGUGGGAGAGAUAUCCUGGGUCCUCAGACCUAGCCCUGAAGAGCCAAGGUCUGGCAGGGUCUUCAGGGCUGGGGUGGCUUCAGGGAUGAGCUCUUCACUGGAUUGUGUAUCUGCCCAUCUUCAUUCAGAGAUGCCCAUCACCAGGGGAUGCUGAGCCCCAGGAAAUGUGUGAGGGCAUCUCCUAAGAGUUGACGUCUGUGUCAGUGGAUGGAGGGAGUAGGACCCGGAUGAAAGGGCAGCUUCUUGGUUGUGUUAUCAGCUAAGGGGCGGUGAUCAAGGGGGCUUCAGUUUCCCUGGAGGCUCUCUCCAGAGUGAACAUCAGAGCCUCAAAAUUCUCCAAGUCUUCACUCACUCUCUUCUGCUUUAUUUAUUCAUUUAACAGACAUUUAUCAAACAAUCUGCCAUGUGCACAGCCCCAAGGGAGGGUAAUACACACUGCCUUUGACUGUGAGAAGUUUAUAGUCUAGUGAGUAAAGGAUGGGAGCGGAUGGGAUGGGAUGGGGCCAUGGUUUCCUUGGUACCUCCCUUUACCCAUGAAUGCAAAUCAGCACCUGCCUGGAACCCCGAGAAGUUCAGUAACCUGUCCCAGAUCAUGUAGCUGAUCUAUGUCAGGCAAAACUUGAAUCUGGUUCCUUUUUGGACUCUGAGGCCAGCUCUUUGCCCUGGACUGCCUUAACUGUAAUAUAAAACAUGUAGACAGAUAAUUCUACAAAUUAGAGAAGGCAUGCAAAUUACCAUGAGAUCUGAUGAGAGAAGGAUCACUUCUGGGAGUGGGUCAUGGGAACUGAACCCUUUUAGCAGCUCGGUGAUACAGCAGAUGGAGCCCUGGACUCUUCCUGCCUCAGAUACCAUUAGCUCUGGGAACCCUGAGCAAUUCAUUGAAUAGCUCUGUGCCUUAGUUUCCUCAUCUGGAAAAUGGGGCAGUGGUAACCACCUACCUCCCAGAGUUAUCAUGAGGAUCCAAUGAGCUGAUAUUUGUAAAACCCAAUGCAAACCUUAAUGUGCUGCUGGGACCCAGAAUAUAGGAGCAGCAGAAAGGGGAGAUGAGGCUGGAAAAAGAUAGGUUGAGGGCUUUUUCCUUCCUUGCUCAGAGGAAAAACUGCCCCCCCCUCCCUCCUGCAUUCUUGAUAAUGCAGUUAUUCUGCCGGGAGGAGAGGGAGCAAGCACUUGACCCUCCUUGUUUCAUUUGCUCCUGCCCUGAGAGGUAGACAGGGCAGAGUAUUGUCAUCCAUGUUGUGCAGAUGAGGAAACUAAGGCUCAAAAAAGAUUAAUUAGUUUACUGAAGUCACAGAGAUUGCAAAUGGCAGAACUAGGACUUCAAUUUCCGGUCUUCUGAUUCAGAGUUCUAUUUUCUCUCCACUGUUUUAUGAAGCUGCCCAUUCCCUUCCAUAUCUUACUCUAUCCAUGAUUUCCUUCCUCUCUUACAGCUUCUUUUUCUGUGUCCGAUGAGUCUUAAUCUGUUUCUUCUGCUUACACACAUUUUCAGGUUGCCUCUAUUUUUUGAAAAAAUCCUUACCUUUUAUGUUAGUAUCAUUUCUAAGACAGAAGAGAAACAAGGGCUAGGUAAUCAGGGUUAAGUGACUUGCCCAGCAUCACAUAGCUAGGAAAUGUCUGAGAAGCCAGGUCCUCCAUACUCAAGGACUGGUGCUCUAUCAUCCAUAGAUGGAGCCACUUAGUUGCCCCAGGUUGUCUCUAUCCUUUAGAAAUAAAACAAAACAAAAAACUUUCCUCCACCCAGCAGCUCUCUUUGGCCAUGGGCCUAUCUUUUUCCUUUUUUUUGAUGUCAAGUUUCUAAAAAGAUCUGUCCACAAUAGCUGGUCCAUUUCACCACCCACUCAUACCUUAAUACCCUUGCCGUCUAGAUUUUAGUUCUACCCCUCGACUUAAAAUUCUCUCAAAGGUCACCAGGGACUUACGAAAUCCAAUGGCCUUUCUCAGUCCUUAUCCUACUUAAGCUUCCUGUGACAUUUGAUGCUUUGCCAACCCCUCCCUCCUGAAAUUCUCUCCUCCUUUGGCUAACGUGGCACGGUCAUCUCCUGGUUCUCCUCCUACCUCUCUGUGCCCGGGCACACUGCCUUACUUGGUGGCUCCUGCUCCCUCUCUGGAACCUCUAAAUCUAGGUAUUUCCUAAGAUUCUCUGUCUUCUAUCAUUGCACUCUCCCCCUCAGACCAUCUGUCUCCUUUGGAUUCACCACAUCACUUCCAUAAAGAGAGCUAAAAUCUUUAUCUCCAAACCCAGCAUCUUAUGGAUAUUCUUCCAGAUUCGUUAUCUAUUGGUAAAUACCUGCUGGAGACAGUAUGAUGUAGUCAAUAGAGGAUCAUGAAGACCUGGACUCAGGACCUGGCUGGGGGACCCUAGGAAAGUCAGUACCCUGAGCAAUUUUCUAAGAUAUAAAUGGUGAAGAAAAUAGAAGUUUCCUCAUCAGGCGUUCCUUAUACCAAUGUAAUUAGAAGUCUCAUUAAAAAAAAUAGGUAGCUGGUGGAUAUGUCCACUUUGAUGUCCUGUUGCCACCACGAAUUCAACUUAGCCCAAAUUGAACUCAUCUUCUCUCCCUUCCCUUAAUCUUACAUCACACUUUUAUCCCUGUCAAUGGCACCAUUGCCCUUCUCAUGACCUAGGCUUGAAAUGUUGGCUUCCUUCAAGCCUUCUUUGUCUCUAUAGACAAUCCUGUCUAGUCCUCCUUUGUGAUAUCUCUUCCAUCCCCAUCUUGUAUCAUGAAAUCAUAAAUUUAGCAUUGCAAGACACCUUAAAAGACAUCCAAUAUAGUUCCCUCAUUUUACAAAUAGAGAAGUUGAGGCAGAGAGAAAGGGUGCAAGUUCACACAGUCCCUAAGCAUGGAAGAAGUUGGUAUUCUAGAAGGCAGAAGUUAGGUCUCCACCCUGCUCAGAAAUUUAUAAUUAUUCCCUAUCAUUUAUAAAAUCAAAUCUUUGAAAUUUGAGUUUUUUCAUGAUUCCAAUGACUUUUGCCACCUUAUAUCCGACAGGGCAUAUAGGAUUCUAGGCCACAGGGGUCACUGGUUUUGAGCUCAACCUCUCAGAUGAUCUGUUAAGAAACUUAAGAAUCUAUAGAAAAUUUGGGUGAAAGAAAAUAGCUCAAUAAAUAAUUGUUGACCCUUUAGUUUUAAGAUUUACAAAGUACUUUGCAUACAUCAUCUCGCUCAAUCCUCUUAAUACCCCUGUGAGGUAGAUGCUAUUAUUAAUUCCCAUUUUAUAGACACGGAAACUGAAGCUUUUAAGAUAUGUCUUUUUCCACAGUUACGCAACUAAUAAGUGUUUGAGUCUGAGACUUGCCUAUGAAGCCAUGUUGCUUCUUGUUGCCCUCAUGCCCGAUUCCAUGUAGUAGACCUUUGGGGGCUAGGAAUUGGACUUGUACAAGCCUACUUUGUAGAAAAAAAGGAGAUGAGAGUGUGUGCAUGGUACUCAGACCUGCAGAUGAGAAAGAGUUCUAGGAAGGCACCCAUUUGCUUUGAACCCCUUUGAAGCUGAAGAAGGUGCAUGAUUGGAGCUGGUCCCAUCUGUCUUUAUCUCUGGGUGCAAUGGAGAAAACAUUAGCUGCUGUCAGAAGACCAGUUCUUGAGUCCUGACUCUGAUACUAGCUGCCUUGAUGGGGUUCACUCUUCAGUUUCCUCAUCUGUAAAAUGGGCAUGAGCCUCAUUGCCCUACUUGCCUCACAGGGUUCUUGUGAGGAAGGCUUGGUAAACCCAUGAGGCAUGUGACAGGUGGCUGAAUCAGCACAAGGGUACAGAUGAGCUGAGGGGAAUUCACAAAGGCAGGGUGGAGAGGAUUAGGGAGGGCUGGUCAGUUCUGUGGAAGUCCCAUUGGAGGCCAGAUUGGUUUUUUCUCUAAAAUCUCCCCUCCCAAAAUGUCAAUAGUGUCUGUCUGGUUCCUGAAGACGUUGAACCCUGUUGAACCCUAAACCUUCCAUUUCUGGGGCUUUGGGAGCAGAAGUUGACAAACAGCUGUUGGCAAUUGUGGGAAAGGCGAGAGGAAUGAAUUCUGGUGAUGGCUUCUGGGUGGUUGGGUUUUUUUUUUUCCCUUUUGGAAGAUGACUCAGUGUGUCAUGAGCCCUGAGAGGGAGCUUUCAGGCUCACAUCUGAUGCUCCAUGGACAUGAAAAUUAGCUCAUCUGGGGUCAGAUUGAAGAAGGGCUGGGGAGUCUUGGGAUCACACAACACAAUAGCCUAGUUUAUACCUCAGAGGAGAAAAUGCCAGCUUUUGGGGUUUAGAAAUGAAACCUGCCAAGCAAUAUUUUUUUCCCAUAGAUCUUCACGUUCCCUCCACCAAAUGUCAGGAGUGUUUCUGGGGCUAAGAAUCCUCUGAGGAAUUUUCCCAUAGUCCUGUUGGCCGGUACUUGAGCAGGGGGUAUCUUGUAGAACUUUCUAGGAGUCUCCUGUGUCCCCUUCUGCCUGAGUGAGGGUGGAAAAAAAUCAGCAGUGGCCGUGUUCCCGAGUCUGUCUGCUUCAUUGAGACACUGGGAUGUAGCCUCUGAGUCUGUCAGGGCCUGAGUCACUGACUUUUGUUGGAGGGGAGACCAGGGCUAGGCUAAAGGUCAGUUUACUGGGAAACCAGCCUUGGACUCCCAUUUUCUUCCUUCUUUGGCCAGAUUUGUAGCAAGAUUCCACUGGUCCUUCCCCUACUACUUCAACACAUUGUUGUUUUUUUCUGUCUGUUGUCAAUCAAUAAACAUUUAUUAAACACCUUAUUUUUGUAGACAUUGUGCUAGGUACUCGAGCCCCAGGAUUCUAGGUCUUUCUAGAGCUGACUGUGCUGGACAGAAUUUUAUUUCUCGUCCCUUUUAUCCAUCAGCCCAGUCAUCCCAGGGGCAUGGGAGGGUAUGGGCUAUUCACUGCUCCUGUCGCUUAGCCAAACCAAUUACCCAGGCAGCUGGGACCCUCCAUUUCUUUCCAUUGUUUGCCAGUCAUCAGGUGGGGAAGGUUUAUUUGUGGCAUGAGCAGACAUUUUUGGGAACUGAGGAAGAAUGCCAGGCCAGGUUUUGUUUACCAUUAGAGUGCCAUUCUCUGCAUAUUCCCCUUCCCCUUCCCCAUGUACAGUUUUUUGCCAUGUCCUAAUCAAAAUUAGGAUCACGUUUCUCACCUCCUUGCCCCAUGGAGUAUCCUGAAGGGUUAAUUCAAAAUUUCAUCUAGAAUUUGGGAAGCCCUGGAAGGAGGAAGCAUUUGUGCAGAUAAUGAACUGUGAAAUCUUACCAAAAUGACAUUUACUACAAGAAAUUAGGGAUGAUUCAGUUUAAUUGAACAAGCUUUGUUCAAAGCACCAUGCUAGGCACCGAGGGUACAAAGGAAAGAGCGAUUGGUCCCUGUCCUUAGGAAACUCACAGGUAUAGUCACUCAUCCCUGGAUUCUCUCAUAUUUCUUCACUGACCUUUAAAUAAAGCAAGCCUACCAUGGUACAUAUACCAGUCCUCAACUGUUGAUUUAAAACCAAACCAAAUAAGAAAGGUAACAAGAAUCAUUUGCCAGAUUGGGACAUCUUUAGCAGAGCAGGAUAUGCCCUCUGAUCUUUGCUGAGGAUUCCCCUGAUCAUUCCAUUCCUUCUCUACAAAAGUAUUUACCAGGGAUGCUUUUAAUCCUAUCGCUCACAUUUAUCUAGCAUGAUAGGAGUUAUCUUUACAUUUCAGAAAGCUCUGUUCUAACAGACCAGUUCUAAAAAGAAAGAAAUGGGCCUUCUCCAACUUAGAUGUUGCAUCCCCUGUCACUGGUGUCCCUCUCUCUAAAGGAUGGACACUAGCCACCAUUGUGUUUGGCUCUCUGCCCUUCUACCAUCUACUUUCGAUGGGGGAACAGGAACCAUUCACAGAGGAGCCAAGGCUAUGAGCAUUAUAUUUCCAAUCCCCUUCUCUGCUCUUAGUUACUUGUCCUAAAUCGGGUCCUAAAUGGUUGGGAAUUGUUAAUCCAUCCUCAGUCAUAUAAACCUGAACUCCCUUCUCUCCUUUUCUCUCCUUGCAGGAACUCAGGACUUAGUCAUCAGCAGAAUCUCCCAUGUUAAAGCAGUCCAGGGCAAAGAGCUGGCCUCAGAGUCCAAAAAGGAACCAGAUUCAAGUUUUGCCUGACAUAGAUCAGCUACAUGAUCUGGGACAGGUCACUGAACUUCUCGGGGUUCCAGCAGAGUCUCGCCAUGAUGGAAGCUCAUUGACAUGUUGUUGGAGAACUUUGAUGGUGAGGAAACCGAGGCCUGGGGAGAUUAAAGUGACCACCGAGAGGGCCAACACAGUUCUUUGCACAUACUAGGCAGUAUGGAUGGAUGCAUGCUUUUUGGAUCGGAUUCAGCCUAUUAAAUCAUUGAUCUUUUGAAUUCCUGAAGUAAAUUUCUCCAGAAACCAUC